rnacentral:rRNA from 1 species
GAUGAACGCUGGCGGCGUGCCUAAUACAUGCAAGUCGAGCGAACAGAUGAGGAGCUUGCUCCUCUGACGUUAGCGGCGGACGGGUGAGUAACACGUGGAUAACCUACCUAUAAGACUGGGAUAACUUCGGGAAACCGGAGCUAAUACCGGAUAAUAUAUUGAACCGCAUGGUUCAAUAGUGAAAGACGGUUUUGCUGUCACUUAUAGAUGGAUCCGCGCCGCAUUUGCUAGUUGGUAAGGUAACGGCUUACCAAGGCAACGAUGCGUAGCCGACCUGAGAGGGUGAUCGGCCACACUGGAACUGAGACACGGUCCAGACUCCUACGGGAGGCAGCAGUAGGGAAUCUUCCGCAAUGGGCGAAAGCCUGACGGAGCAACGCCGCGUGAGUGAUGAAGGUCUUCGGAUCGUAAAACUCUGUUAUUAGGGAAGAACAAAUGUGUAAGUAACUAUGCACGUCUUGACGGUACCGAAUCAGAAAGCCACGGCUAACUACGU